CCUGGGGAGGGGGCAGCGGUGGGGAUGGCAUACCAGCUCUGGACGUGCAGAGCCAUGAGUGUGAGUCUCACUCUCCCACUCUCAAGCUCCCCCUCUCCGUGCCUCGGUCUUCCCAUCUCCCAGAUGGAGCCUCAGAGGGGCCAAUGCACUUGCCCAAGAUCACACAGAUGAGGGGCAGAGCUACAAACUGAGGACAGGGGGCUUGGAAACUUGUGCUCUUCGCCCUGCUCCAGCAAACUCCUCAAAGCCCCUCACCAGCGGGGCCUUCUCUUCUGUCUCCUGGAGGCCCAGACGCAGGAGGCUCAGGUCCACCUCCAGGGAGCCAUUGGUGUAGAAGCCGAAGCUAUUCAGCUGGAUGUCUGCUCGCUUCUCCCCCUGCCGGAGACCAAGGAGGAAGAGGCAGCGGCAGCUCAGACUUCUUUCCAACUCAGCCCCACGGCUCUGGCGCGAGGUCCCCCUAAGAGCUCGGCCCCCUCCUGGUACCCCUAGAUUGAGGACAGGUCCAAAGAGUAAUGGGAGAGGCUGAGAGGGCCUUCCCGGAGGCCAUGUCCCCAGACCAAUCCCCCGGGGAGGAACAGGGUAGCCCCACAUCCUCCAGCCACCAUUCUGAGAGUCCAGCAAAAGAAAGCCUGGGGCAUUUGCAAGUCUCCGCACUUGGUGAACACCA